CCGAUCGCCAAUCCGCCUGCAGCAAGUUUGUUCAACUCGACAGGCUGUAACCAGAGCCGGGGAAAGGGAGGGUGGGUCGGUGAGGCCCCUGCUCCCUAAAGACUGGAAAAAAAAGAGGUUCAGUCUGUUAGAAGAGGCUAAUAUCUGUCUGCAUGAUGGACUUAGCAACAAAGUUUAUCCAAUAGCCACCUUCACAAAUCCACCUUCUAAAUAUGGUUCUUAACAAAGACUUCAAAGGAAUCUGAUAACCUGCUGAACAGGGAAGCCAGCUGCCCUGUCAUAAGGAGACUCAAGCAGCCCAUGGAGAGGCCCACGUGGCAAGGAACUGAGGCUUGCAAGCAACCAUGUGAAUGAACUUGGAAGUAGAUCUUCUGAAGCCUGCCAAGCAGCAUGUUGAAUGAGUUUUAGGUAUUUUGAAAACUCUGAACAGAGAAUAGUAUCAGAGUUAGGGAUUUGUGAAGUUUCUACCAAGAAACAAUAAUUUAAGCCAAUGUUCAGAUGUGAUUGCCAUGGAAAAGAGUUUAAUGAAAAAAAGGAUAAAGUAGGAGACUUUGGAGUGUGGAGAAAAAGGGAGAGGAAGAAGGGAGAGAAGACACAGAGAAUAU